rnacentral:rRNA from 1 species
UACGGGGGGGGCAAGCGUUGUUCGGAAUUACUGGGCGUAAAGGGCUCGUAGGUGGCCAACUCAGUCGGACGUGAAAUCCCUCAGCUUAACUGGGGAACUGCGUGUGAUACUGGAUGGCUUGGAUUUGGGAGAGGGAUGCGGAAUUCCAGGUGUAGCGGUGAAAUGCGUAGAUAUCUGGAGGAACACCGGUGGCGAAGGCGGCAUCCUGGACCAAUAUUGACGCUGAGGAGCGAAAGCCAGGGGAGCAAACGGG